rnacentral:rRNA from 1 species
ACGCACGCUGGCGGCAUGCCUAACACAUGCCAGUCGAACGAGACCUUCGGGUCUAGUGGCGCACGGGUGCGUAACGCGUGGGAACCUGCCCUUAGGUUCGGAAUAACUCCCCGAAAGGGGUGCUAAUACCGGAUAAUGUCUUCGGACCAAAGAUUUAUCGCCUUUGGAUGGGCCCGCGUUGGAUUAGCUAGUUGGUAGGGUAAAAGCCUACCAAGGCGACGAUCCAUAGCUGGUCUGAGAGGAUGAUCAGCCACACUGGGACUGAGACACGGCCCAGACUCCUACGGGAGGCAGCAGUGGGGAAUAUUGGACAAUGGGCGAAAGCCUGACCCAGCAAUGCCGCGUGAGUGAUGAAGGCCUUAGGGUUGUAAAGCUCUUUUACCCGGGAUGAUAAUGACAGUACCGGGAGAAUAAGCUCCGGCUAACUCCGUG